GGGCACGCAGCGUUGCUUCUUUUUACAUACUCUUACCAAAACCCCGCUGUAGCUCUUUUUAUUUGUUUCUCCACUGCUUCCAGCCACGUGCUCACCCCUUUACAUCCCUUUAUCUUAUUUUGCCACUUAGUCUUUAAGCUCUACUCAGUGCCUCCAGAAGAACUGAAUAAAUCAAUAUAUCUAUAACAUAUAUCCAAUAUAUAACCGAAAAUUUCUAUAUUCUGCCACUUAUCCCUGCCAUUCCAGGGGCAGGGAGCUGCUGCUGUGCCAGGGAUGCAGAGGAGCAGCUCCACUGCUCCCAGCCACGUUUGGCAUCCUUUUAUCUUAUUUUGCCACUUUGUCUUAAAGCUCUACUCAGUGCCUCCAGAAGAACUGAAUAUAUCACUAUAUCUAUAGCAUAAAUCUAAUAUAUAACUGAAAAUUUCCACCCUCUGCCCCUUAAGGCUGCCCUGCCAGGGGCAGGGAGCUGCCGCAGGGCAUGCAGAGGGGCAGCCCCGCCGGUCCCACACCACGUCUGGCACCUCUUUCCUGCCAGCACCGGCAGCACAUGCGACCUUCCCCUUUUGGGCAAGGGAGGCGCGAUUGGUGCGCGGGGCCUCGGCCGCCUUAAAGGCUCGGGGCGGACGGGGAAGCGCCACGGGAGGCGCCGGAGCCCCGCGGAGCCCCGGCCAUGCAGCGCGCCCGCCUGCUCGCCCUGCUCGCCCUGCUCGCCCUGUGCCUGUCCCUCUGCCUGGCGAAGGAGGAGACGAUGAAGGUGGAGAUGCCUCUCCCGAAGGUUUUUAUCCCGCUCAACGCCACGGUCAGCAGCGGCGUGAGCUCGCCCGCCGCCAGCCCCCCGCUCCUGGCCGCGGCGCUGGGGGUGCUGGCAGCGCUGCUCCCGCACCUGCGCUGAGCCCGAAGUCCCUGCAGCCCCCCGAGACCCUCCCCAGGACGGCAUCGCCCCGUUCCUGCUGCGUCCCCCAGCCUCGGAGCUACCCCCGCGGAGCGGAGCAAUAAACGCGCUGGUGCCGACCCGCA